rnacentral:rRNA from 1 species
CUACGGGGCGCUCCAGUGGGGAAUAUUGCACAAUGGGGGGAACCCUGAUGCGGCAACGCCGCGUGGAGGAUGACGCAUUUCGGUGUGUAAACUCCUUUUAUAUGUCAAGAAAAUGACGGUAGCAUAUGAAUAAGCACCGGCUAACUCCGUGCCAGCAGCCGCGGUAAUACGGAGGGUGCAAGCGUUACUCGGAAUCACUGGGCGUAAAGGACGCGUAGGCGGGUUGGAAAGUCAGGUGUGAAAUCCUACAGCUUAACUGUAGAACUGCACUUGAAACUUCUAAUCUAGAGUAUGGGAGGGGGAGAUGGAAUUAGUGGUGUAGGGGUAACAUCCGUAGAUAUCACUAGGAAUACCUAAAGCGAAGGCGAUCUCCUGGAACAUUACUGACGCUAAGGCGUGAAAGCGUGGGGAGCAAACAGGAUUAGAUACCCCAGUAGUC